UCCAAAAGUUAGGGCACAAACACGCCCACUUUCUCUCUUCUCUAUCAGACUCCCACUUGCACUCUCUUCAACAAUGUGAGUUUGUUUCUUCAAAUACAAAAAAUUGGGUAUGAAUCUAAGGCUUAUAUGCAAUGGGAAACAAAAAUAUUAGAUAGUGAAUAGAAGAAAACUUUCGAAAUUGCAAAAAUAUUACUGCAGAAUUCUGAACUUGCCAAGAAAUUCGAAGUAAGGAGAUAUUACAAUAACAAAUACAUACUCAAUCUGAUAUUUAUCAGUGUAAAGCAUAUUAUCAAGCCGCAGGAGGAGAAAAGAAAAGAAGAGUAUAUGGUCUUGGAUCUCAAGCUAAAUGCUACUACGGGCCAAAUCUUCAUGACUCUUUUGGAUCUGAUGCUACAUCGUCAGCAACACCUCCAAAUGCUCAUUCAACACCGACAUGGAAUCUGGAUGAGUUAGUGAUGCGAUUGAUUCUUGCACUAACAGAUCAUAUAGUUCCUGUAAUCGUUGAGCGGGUACGUGAAUUAGUUUUCUUACCCUCGCAUCAGCCAAAUAUUGAUCUUACCAACCACCCAUCAGAUAUGGCACCUACAGUUCCUAUAUCUUCUACUACUGCUAACAUUGACGAGGUUCAUGCAUUGGGUUCUGAUAAUUACCGUAACUCUCCAGCCUCGCAUAGUUAGCCUAUUUUGUUUGGACUUUAUUGUUGGUCCUUGUGAAUUUUUUGUACUUAACGAUACCAUUAUAUGCAUUAUUCUAUAUAUUUUGGACCUUGUUGAAUAUAUUGUUAAUUUA